rnacentral:lncRNA from 1 species
ACUUCACCAUCCGGCUCCCCUCCACAGGUGCGGGCUGCAGCCCAUGGUUGGGACUGGCCUCAUCCCUUAGUAGUUGUCCUGAUUGGAAAGGGACAUAAAAUAUGCAAAAAAAAAUGUCCAAAAUGUCACUUCUUCUUUGUGAAUUAGUUAAUAUCACCAAUACACUGCUAAACAAUCAAAAUUCCAUUGCCAGUAAUGGAAUUUUGUUACUGUUAGUAACACCUGGAGCAGACUACUAUAAAUACAUGCACCUGAUCUGUUUCAGAACAAUCUGUGUUUGUUCAAAAUGCUCAGAACAUGUAUUGAUUUUGGUGGAGUUGCACACAAUGUGUUGUGGUUACCUCACAAUGGUCACAAACCGAAAUAAUGUUGCG